rnacentral:lncRNA from 1 species
GCGAAUUUAACUCGAGUUGGAGCUUGUGCAGAAGGAAGUCCUCGUGCCACUCUCAGUGCCACUGGGGUAGAGUUGGCCAGACGAGGCUGUGGGGGCACAGCUCAGGCGGCAGGGACGGGGACAGACACGAGGCAGGCCCUGCUGAGCCAUCGGAGCGUGGCAGUCCAGGCACAGGGGUCAUGUGCAUGGCGUCCUGGGUCCAGAGGACAGAGGCCCAGCUGCCCUGUGCGGAGUUUCGGGUGUCCUCCCGGGAGGGAGGUCCAAGAGCGCCCCGCAUCAGCCUGAGGGAGGGGAGGCUUCUGCGUCCUGGGAGCUGUGCAACCCCUGCCGGAACAAUCAAGAAACUGAGGCAGGGGAGAGAACGGGACUGACUGUGUCCACGAGGGUAAGCAGUGUCCAGUCAGGAAUGGAGGGGCCUGGCUUCCCAGGCCAGGCUCAGCCCUACAGGGUCUGCAAGGGGAAUGAAGGCCCCUCAGAUCUGGGGGAUCCCUGCCCCCCCCUCCUCUGUAGGCCAUUUCCUCUCUGCUUUAUGAGCUGCACCCAGAAGUGCAGCACACACUCACUUAUACUCCCUCACAUGCUAACACACUCACACACAUAGACUCACAGGGCCCAGGGCAGAGGAGCGGGACCCUGGGAGGUAAGGAAGAAGGAAGACGUUGGAGGCAGCUCUGCCAAGGCCCAGGGGCAUCCAGUCUCCUAGCAGCAAGCCAGGGUCAUUGCAUGGGAGGGGGGACUUUCCACGGUGAUGGGGUCCCCCCAGGCUCCCAGGGUCUGUCUGCCUGGGCUGGGGACACCCCCAGAGCAGCCCAAGAGGACACACUGGGGCCCAGAGCCCAUGGAUUGGGUCACGUGGGAGAGGAUGAGACCCCUCAGUGAGGGGGGCCCACAGGAGAGGAGGACUCAGUCCUGCUCUAUGAAUUAGAUGCUCGGCCCGGGUGAUGCAGGGUCCCGCGGCUCCUGAAAGUUUCUGGAAGUUUCUGAAACGCGGUCCUCCGUUGAUGGCCCAGGGCCCCUGUGUUGCUAGCACAUGGUUCCUCUUCACUGGGCUCCCCCUGAGCAGAGCAGCCCAGGGACUGGGCACCUAGAGCCCCGGGCCCCUCGUCCUAGGUCCAGGGCGAGACCAUCCCUGUGGACUCAUGGGGUCCUCAGUUGGACGUGGCUGGGGUCACUGUCCUGGCUGGGAGCCUGGAGCCCUCUGGAGUGAGCCGGACACCUGGGGCAGCAGAGGAAAGGGGACAAGGGAGACUGAAAUCCUUCAUCACGCAGGGCUGGCUCUUGCACCCUCUGGGCCUCUGGGGGACUCCACGCCCAGCCGCAGUUCAGGUGUCCUGCCAGGGCGCAGUGCUACUGCUGGCCACCAGGGGGAGCAGUCCCUACCGUGCUGCAGGGACCCUGCCUCCCACCCAGGGGCACUCCAGCCUGGAGGAGAUCCUGUGCCCAGGGCGAGCUGCCCGGGGCAGGACAGCUCGGGCUGCUCUCACCUCCUCUCUCGGCCCCAUGCCGAACACCACCAAACCAUGGCCAUGAGCCAAGUCCAGUGUCCCAGUCACCGGAAGCCGUUCCCUCACCCCCGUCACCUCCCUGGCCCCCGGCCCCUAACGUGCUCCUGUCUCCGUGGACGCGAAGCGGCGGCCCACGUCACCUGAGGCUCAGUGUGUGCCUUUCGGGGAGUGGCUUCUUCCGUUGGAGUGUCACCGUUCCCCUUGCUGUAGCGUGUGUCCAACGGCACCCUCUCCACGAGUCGGGCUCUGUGCUGUGGACGACACCACAGCGCGUGGUUUCCCCCACUCACCCCUGGGGGGCGCUGCGGUUGUCCCUACUUGAGGCUGUCGGGGGCCUGAGGGCGUGGCUGGAGAAGUGGGCGGGGCCGUCAGAGACCCCAGGUUGGCACCGGCGACUCUCAGGACCCUCGUGCAGACCUCAGGAGCUCCCGAGAGUCGGACGGCUGGAGGAGAGCAGACGCUCGGGAGGAGCCCGCUGUCUCGUCUCCUCACGGUAGCCCGCCCUGGCUUUUGCAGACCCAAGAAAGAACCUGGAAUACUUUUGUUUGGCGACCCACGUCUAAAGGAAUGACCUGACAGCACGCUGGCGAAGCCAGCCAGGAGCUGACAGAGGAGCGAGCCUUCGUGUGGCGUUUCAGCUUCUCUUGGGGGAGCACCAGGAAUGACGCUGCAGGCCGUGAGGCAGACGGCACGGCACCGGCACUCUGGGCCGGACCAUUGCAGUAUCGUCCCAGCUGCUCCUCUGCUUCUGUGCUCCUCACGACCUGUCCUCGGUGAGCACGGGGCCGACCCUUUAAGAGUGCCUCACCCUCACUCUGUCAAGGCCUCCAGGGCCCCAUUCCCCUCAGAGGAGAGCCUGGGGUCCUUGUAACACCCUCAGCCCCACAGCGGGCCCUGCCCUCCCGGGCCCGAGUUUCUGCCCGUCCUCCCCAUACCUUCCCGGCACGUGCCAGGCCCCGGCGCCCCCAGGCCAGCACUGACGUCCCUCCCCCAGGCGCCUCUCCCGCCGGCCGUUCAUGCCUCACUUCCCCCACUAUCUUCAGUUCUCUGAGCAAAUGCCGCCUUGGUGAGGCUGACCGCACCCUUCCAUCUAAAACACAAACACCCCUUGUCCCCCCAGCCACUGUCCGACCUGUUCCAUUUGCUUUUCCCCCAUAGCCCUUAUGACCUUUAAUAAAAAUGAUAUAUAAUUAUAUGAAUCAGCGAUCAAUCAGGAGCGAGAAC